CACGUAGGAGGCAAACGUUAUCCGGAUUUACUGGGCGUAAAGCGCGUGUAGGUGGUUCUGUAAGUAGGGCGUGAAAGCUCCCGGCUCAACUGGGAGAUGCCGUUCUAAACUGCAGAGCUAGAGGAUGGUAGAGGGAGGUGGAAUUCCAGGUGUAGCGGUGGAAUGCGCAGAUAUCUGGAGGAACACCAGUGGCGAAGGCGGCCUCCUGGACCAUUCCUGACACUCAGACGCGAAAGCUAGGGUAGCAAACAGGAUUAGAUACCCCGGUA
rnacentral:rRNA from 1 species